AAACGAGAAUUCUUUCAGCAAAAGGAGAAGCUGAUUUGCAGAAGUGCUGAGCAUGCCUGAGAGAGAUGGGAGUGAUCAAGACCAGGAGUGCCAUUUGGAUGUGCAGAGUUGAGCAGAGAGAUACCAGGGUUCAUCAUGGGCAGCAAUGACUAUGAUGGACAAGAAGAUAGAGGCCCUAACCCUAAUUUUCUGAGCACCAUGGAAGCCCCCUGGAUUCUAGGGAGACCUUGAGGAGAAAGAAGUCUCCUGUAAAUGCCUGACAUUGAAAUUCCUGCAAGUCUAGGAGCAUGUGAACUCAAAAUGGAAAUUAAUUUG
rnacentral:sRNA from 1 species